rnacentral:rRNA from 1 species
AUGACCAUAACGGAGGCGAUCGGAUGCUUGCGGACGUGGGAAGAGAAUGCUCGUGGAUGUCGGAAAGGCAAAGGAGGAGGUGAUGACCAACUCAUGUACUCACGCGCAGAUUGGGAGUCCCCAAGUAGCAAAGGAAGGCGCAACAUUGGCGAAGGCUCAAGCAACGCGAAGCGCGGCGGACAAACCGAAGAAAGCAAAGGAAAAGACAAGGCACAAGGUCGUGGUAAGGCGGACCGGUCUAAAGAGCGGAAGCCACGGAACUUGGAUAUGUCUGAGGUCAAGUGCUAUAACUGCAACGAGAUGGGUCACUUUGCGAAGGAUUGUCCGGAGCCUAACAAGCGGGAGAUCAAAGCAAAUUUGGCGAAGCAGGAAGACGAACGCCAGGUCUUCUGA